UACGUAAGUGGCGAGCGUUAUCCGGAAUUACUGGGCGUAAAGCGCGCGUAGGCGGUUUUGCAAGUCGGGUGUGAAAUCCCCAGGCUUAACCUGGGAACUGCAUUCGAGACUGCAUUACUAGAGUAUGGGAGAGGGAAGUGGAAUUUCCGGUGUAGCGGUGAAAUGCGUAGAUAUCGGAAGGAACAUCAGUGGCGAAAGCGACUUCCUGGACCAAUACUGACGCUCAUGUGCGAAAGCGUGGGGAGCAAACAGG
rnacentral:rRNA from 1 species